rnacentral:rRNA from 1 species
AUACGGAGGGGGCCAGCGUUGUUCGGAAUUAUUGGGCGUAAAGGGCGCGUAGGCGGCUAUGCAAGUCAGACGUGAAAUCCCCUGGCUUACCCAGGGAACUGCUUCUGAAACUGCAUGGCUCGAGUCCGGGAGAGGAGAGUGGAAUUCCCAGUGUAGCGGUGGAAUGCGUAGAUAUUGGGAGGAACACCAGUGGCGAAGGCGGCUCUCUGGACCGGUACUGACGCUGAGGCGCGAAAGCUAGGGUAGCAAACAGGAUUAGAAACCCCAGUAGUCC